UACGUAGGGGCAAGCGUUGUCCGGAAUGACUGGGCGUAAAGGGCGCGUAGGCGGCUCUGUAAGUCCGGAGCGAAAGUCCAGAUUUUAAGGUUGGAAUUGCUUUGGAAACUGUGGGGCUUGAGUGCGGAAGAGGUAAGUGGAAUUCCCAGUGUAGCGGUGAAAUGCGUAGAGAUUGGGAGGAACACCAGUGGCGAAGGCGACUUACUGGGCCGUAACUGACGCUGAGGCGCGAAAGCGUGGGGAGCGAACAGGAUUAGAUACCCUGGUAGUCCCUGAGCGGG
rnacentral:rRNA from 1 species